rnacentral:rRNA from 1 species
AGUGAACGCUGGCGGUAGGCCUAACACAUGCAAGUCGAACGGCAGCACAGUAAGAGCUUGCUCUUACGGGUGGCGAGUGGCGGACGGGUGCUGAAUACAUCGCAAUCUACUUUUUCUUGGGUGAUAACGUAGGGACACUUACGCUAAUACCGCAUACGACCUACGGGUGAAAUCAUGGGAUCUUCCGACCUUGCGCGAUUGAAUGAGCCGAUGUCGGAUUAGCUAGUUGGCGGGGUAAAGGCCCACCAAGGCGACGCUCCGUAGCUGGUCUGAGAGGAUGAUCAGCCACACUGGAACUGAGACACGGUCCAGACUCCUACGGGAGGCAGCAGUGGGGAAUAUUGGACAAUGGGCGCAAGCCUGAUCCAGCCAUACCGCGUGGGUGAAGAAGGCCUUCGGGUUGUAAAGCCCUUUUGUUGGGAAAGAAAAGCAGCAGGUUAAUACCUCGCUGUUCUGACGGUACCCAAAGAAUAAGCACCGGCUAACUUCGUG